ACCAAUUCUCGGCAACGGAUAUCUCGUUCUCGCAUCGAUGAAGAACGAUCGAGUCUUUGAACGCAAGUUGCGCCCGAAGCCAUUAGGCCGAGGGCACGUCUCCCUGGGCGUCACGCA
rnacentral:rRNA from 1 species